rnacentral:rRNA from 1 species
UUCUGCCUACGGGGCGCAGCAGUGGGGGAUAUUGCACAAUGGGGGAAACCCUGAUGCAGCGACGCCGCGUGGGCGAAGAAGUAUUUCGGUAUGUAAAGCCCUAUCAGCAGGGAAGAAGAAAUGACGGUACCUGAGUAAGAAGCACCGGCUAAAUACGUGCCAGCAGCCGCGGUAAUACGUAUGGUGCAAGCGUUAUCCGGAUUUACUGGGUGUAAAGGGAGCGUAGACGGCAGUGCAAGUCUGGAGUGAAAGGCGGGGGCUCAACCCCCGGACUGCUCUGGAAACUGUACGGCUGGAGGGCAGGG